AGUCUGUGAUGACUAGUAAAAGGUCUGAUUGCAUUGUGCUUCCCAGUACACCCAAACAGUUCCCAGCAGCUUCUCUGGUUACCUAUCAUGCCCUAGACAUGCAUACAUUGGAAACGAAGCUGCUGACAUAUUAGGAUAGCCUUUAAACACACAGCUCUUGGAGUUCAGAGUUGUGUAAGUUAAGGGUAUUCAACAGAACUAGUCGAGAAGGAUACUGAGGUGUGCGGGGCUGAGCGUUAUACAGUGCAUGAUACCAAGUUUUCAAGCUGAGACU